UUAAGGGCUAAUGGUGGAUGCCUUGACUGUAAGAGGCGAUGAAGGACGUAUUAGGCUGCGAUAAGCCUCGGGGAGCUGCCAAAGAGCUUUGAUCCGAGGAUUUCCGAAUGGGGCAACCCAGCAUAUAGAGAUAUAUGUUACCCUACGGGGAGCGAACCUGGUGAAGUGAAACAUCUCAGUAGCCAGAGGAAGAGAAAUCAAAUGAGAUUCCCAUAGUAGCGGCGAGCGAACUGGGAUUAGGACAAACCCAAUGCUUGCAUUGGGGGUUGUAGGACUAUAAUGUGUAAUUAAAGAGAAUAGAUGAAUUAGUUGGAAAACUAGAGCAUAGAAGGUGAUACUCCUGUAAUUAAAAUUCUCAAUAAUACUAAUAGUAUCCUGAGUAGGUCGGAACACGUGAUAUUUUGACUGAAGCUGGGGGGACCACCCUCCAAUCCUAAAUACUACUUACAGAUCGAUAGUGAACAAGUACCGUGAGGGAAAGGUGAAAAGUACUGCAGCGAGCAGAGUGAAAUAGAACCUGAAACCAUUAGCUUACAAUCAUUCAGAGCCCUAUGGUGCAUCUCGUAAAGUUUUAACUUUACUAGUGCACCGAAAGUCAUCAAGAUUAGCGGAGUCCUUGUAAAAUCGUAAGAUUUUAUGAGGUGCACCAGGGUGAUGGACUGCCUUUUGCAUAAUGAGCCUGCGAGUUGUGGUGUCUGGCAAGGUUAAGCCAAGUGCGAAGCCGUAGCGAAAGCGAGUCUUAAUAGGGCGAAAUAGUCAGAUGCUGCAGACCCGAAACGAAGUGAUCUAUCCAUGAGCAGGUUGAAGCUGGUGUAAGAGCCAGUGGAGGACCGAACCCAUUGACGUUGAAAAGUCUCGGGAUGACUUGUGGAUAGGGGUGAAAGGCCAAUCAAACUUCGUGAUAGCUGGUUCUCUCCGAAAUAUAUUUAGGUAUAGCCUUGUGUUGUAGCAUAUAGGGGUAAAGCACUGAAUGGGCUAGGGCUGCUUACCGCGGUACCAAACCCUAUCAAACUAUGAAUACUAUAUGUGGAAUCACAGGAGUCAGGCGGUGGGUGAUAAAAUCCGUCGUCGAGAGGGGAACAACCCAGACUAACAGCUAAGGUCCCUAAGUUACAUCUAAGUGGAAAACGAUGUGGAGUUACUGUGACAACCAGGAGGUUGGCUUAGAAGCAGCCAUCCUUUAAAGAAAGCGUAACAGCUCACUGGUCUAGUGAUUCUGCGCGGAAAAUAUAACGGGGCUAAGAUGUACACCGAAGCUUUAGAUUCGAAUUUAUUCGAGUGGUAGGAGAGCGUUCUAUUCAGCGUUGAAGGUAUACCGGUAAGGAGUGCUGGAGCGGAUAGAAGUGAGCAUGCAGGCAUGAGUAGCGAUAAUUAAGGUGAGAAUCCUUAACGCCGAAAACCCAAGGUUUCCUACGCGAUGCUCGUCAUCGUAGGGUUAGUCGGGUCCUAAGUCGAGACUGAAAAGUGUAGACGAUGGCAAAUUGGUUAAUAUUCCAAUACCAACAUAUAAGCGCGAUGUGGGGACGCAUAGAGUUAAUCGAGCUCACUGAUGGAAUAGUGGGUCGAAGGACGUAGGUUGUUAAGUAGGCAAAUCCGCUUAACGUUAGACCGAGAUCUUACAGGCUCUUGACACUCUUCGGAGGAGAUGGAGAAUCGAUGAUACUGUCGUGCCAAGAAAAGCCACUAAGUUUAUUAUAUGUUGCCCGUACCGUAAACCGACACAGGUGGGUGGGAUGAGUAUUCUAAGGCGCGUGGAAGAACCCUCUUUAAGGAACUCUGCAAAAUAGCACCGUAUCUUCGGUAUAAGGUGUGCCUACUUUGGUAUAUGGACUUGCUCCAAAAAGCUAGAGAGGUUGCAACAAAGAGUCCCUCCCGACUGUUUACCAAAAACACAGCACUUUGCUAACACGUAAGUGGAUGUAUAAGGUGUGACGCCUGCCCGGUGCUCGAAGGUUAACUGAUGAUGUCAGCGCAAGCGAAGCAUUUGAUUGAAGCCCGAGUAAACGGCGGCCGUAACUAUAACGGUCCUAAGGUAGCGAAAUUCCUUGUCNNCUUUACUACAGCUUGACACUGUAGCUUGGAUAUUCAUGUGCAGGAUAGGUGGGAGGCUAUGAUGACUAGACGCAAGUAGAGUCGGAGCCAUCCUUGAGAUACCACCCUUGAAUAUUUGAGUUACUAACUGCGACGAGUUAACCUCGUUCAGGACAAUGUCUGGUGGGUAGUUUGACUGGGGCGGUCGCCUCCUAAAAAGUAACGGAGGCUUACAAAGGUUAGUUCAAAGCGGUUGGAAAUCGCUUGUUGAGUAUAAUGGCAUAAACUAGCUUGACUGUGAGACAUACAAGUCGAACAGAGACGAAAGUCGGUCAUAGUGAUCCGGUGGUUCUGUGUGGAAGGGCCAUCGCUCAAAGGAUAAAAGGUACGCCGGGGAUAACAGGCUGAUCUCCCCCAAGAGCUCACAUCGACGGGGAGGUUUGGCACCUCGAUGUCGGCUCAUCGCAUCCUGGGGCUGUAGUCGGUCCCAAGGGUAUGGCUGUUCGCCAUUUAAAGCGGUACGCGAGCUGGGUUCAGAACGUCGUGAGACAGUUCGGUCCCUAUCUUCCGUGGGCGUAGGAAAGUUGAAGAGAUUUGUCCCUAGUACGAGAGGACCGGGAUGAACCAACCACUGGUGUACCAAUUGUUCUGCCAAGAGCAUCGUUGGGUAGCCACGUUGGGAUGUGAUAAGAGCUGAAAGCAUCUAAGCUCGAAGCCAACUCUAAGAUGAACUUUCCCUGAAGUUCCCAGCAAGACUAGCUGGUUGAUAGGCUGGAUGUGUAAUGGGUGUAAGCCCUUUAGCUGACCAGUACUAAUAGAACGUUUGGCUUAUUU
rnacentral:rRNA from 1 species